AGCUCCAAGAAUACUCGGAGGAGGUGGCCCGGGUCGGCGUCGGCGCCGUCCGGCGCGGGCCACGGGCCCGCUUCCAAGUGCAUCUGCGCGCCGGCCAGCCACACCGGGUCCUCCAAGUGCCGCUUCCACCGCACCAACUCCCAGGGCCACGGCCACGGCCAGGGCCAGGGAAGCCGCCCUUCUUCGCCCCCUUCACCAGCCGCAGCCAACGCGGUGCCGCGGCACCCGGCCUCGCUGUCCUCGUCCUCCGGCACCGUCGCGACCCAGUGA
rnacentral:rRNA from 1 species